GACGAACGCUGGCGGCGUGCUUAACACAUGCAAGUCGAACGAUGAAGCCCAGCUUGCUGGGUGUAAGAGUGUCGAACGGGUGAGUAACACGUGAGUAACCUGCCCUGAACUCUGGGAUAAGCACUGGAAACGGUGUCUAAUACUGGAUACGACCUAUCACCCCAUGGUGUGUGGGUGGAAAGAUUUAUCGGUUCUGGAUGGACUCGCGGCCUAUCAGCUAGAUGGUGAGGUAAUGGCUCACCAGGGCGACGACGGGUAGCCGGCCUGAGAGGGUGACCGGCCACACUGGAACGGAGACACGGCCCAGACUCCAACGGGAGGCAGCGGUGGGGAAUAUUGCACAAUGGGCGCAAGCCGGAUGCAGCAACGCCGCGUGGGGGAUGACGGCCUUCGGGUUGUAAACCUCUUUUAGUAGGGAGGAAGCGGAAGUGACGGUACCGGCAGAAAAAGCACCGGCUAACUACGU
rnacentral:rRNA from 1 species